rnacentral:lncRNA from 1 species
ACCCCACUGAGCUAUCAGAUGUUUGAUCUUAUGCGUCCCCCGGAUCGGAUCGGCCUGGGCCUUCGCGAAGAUGACUCCAUUCCUAGUCUCCCAAGCCACCCACCAGCAAGCAAUAAUACCGCUUAAGUCGUUAUUCGAACCCUUCCGACCCCUCCAUAUAUAUCACAGUCGGUGUACGUCAACUCCCAAUUCUCCUAGCUGGACAUCCUCAAGCGACAUAGCCAUAAGGAAUCUGACCAGAGCGCAUUGUGUAAACAGAUGAUCAAGCGUUUCUAGUUCCGACCCGCAAAGUACACAACUUGUAUUCCCCGUCCACCCUUUUUUCA